UCUCCUGGAAAACGGGUGGUAAUGCCGGAUGCUCCAGUUGACCGCAUGGUCCUCUGGGAAAGCUUUUGCGGUAUGGGAUGGGGUCGCGUCCUAUCAGCUUGAUGGCGGGGUAACGGCCCACCAUGGCUUCGACGGGUAGCCGGCCUGAGAGGGCGACCGGCCACAUUGGGACUGAGAUACGGCCCAGACUCCUACGGGAGGCAGCAGUGGGGAAUAUUGCACAAUGGGCGCAAGCCUGAUGCAGCGACGCCGCGUGCGGGAUGACGGCCUUCGGGUUGUAAACCGCUUUUGACUGGGAGCAAGCCCUUCGGGGUGAGUGUACCUUUCGAAUAAGCACCGGCUAACUACGUGCCAGCAGCCGCGGUAAUACGUAGGGUGCAAGCGUUAUCCGGAAUUAUUGGGCGUAAAGGGCUCGUAGGCGGUUCGUCGCGUCCGGUGUGAAAGUCCAUCGCUUAACGGUGGAUCCGCGCCGGGUACGGGCGGGCUUGAGUGCGGUAGGGGAGACUGGAAUUCCCGGUGUAACGGUGGAAUGUGUAGAUAUCGGGAAGAACACCA
rnacentral:rRNA from 1 species